rnacentral:tRNA from 1 species
GGAGGGGUUGUCUAGACUGGUUAGGAUACCUGCCUUACACGCAGGUGGUCAUGGGUUCAAAUCCCAUUCCCUCCAC